rnacentral:rRNA from 1 species
UAAUACGGGGGGAGCAAGCGUUGUUCGGAUUUACUGGGCGUAAAGGGCGCGUAGGCGGCGUGACAAGUCACUUGUGAAAUCUCCGGGCUUAACUCGGAACGGUCAAGUGAUACUGUCGUGCUAGAGUACAGAAGGGGCAACUGGAAUUCUCGGUGUAGCGGUGAAAUGCGUAGAUAUCGAGAGGAACACCUGCGGCGAAGGCGGGUUGCUGGGCUGAUACUGACGCUGAGGCGCGAAAGCCAGGGGAGCGAACGGGAUUAGAUACCCCGGUAGUCCUGGCCUUAAACGAUGAAUGCUUGGUGUCUCGGGUUAUAAAGUCCCGGGGUGCCGUCGCUAACGCUUUUAGCAUUCCGCCUGGGGAGUACGGUCGCAAGACU